CAGCUAUCACCUGUGUCUGGUUUCCUAGAUACUAGCAGAGGUGCCCUGCUCAGAGGGAUACAGGGAAAGGGUGCAGGAGGGGCUCAAGAUACCUGGGAAAAGGCUGUAGAGAAGACCUAAAAGAAAGCAGGCAAAUGAAGGAAGGUUGGUUUUGAUUGGCAUGGUUAACCCUGUGGAUGAAGUCAGUGGAUGCAGCCAAGAGAAAGGACUUAGAGAAGAUGCUAGGGGUAGGGGGUCUAGGAUCUCUUUCCCAGGUGUGUACAGAGACAGAGCUGCUGACUUCAGUGCCAAAACUAAAUGUGGCUUCAGCAAACUUUGGAUCAAGGCUUCUACCUUCUUGUGAAUCACCAGCUGACAGAUUACUAACGCCCCAAUGGGUGAUACUUGAACAAACCCACUGAAGAGAACAGAUUGCACCAGUGACAAUUUGGCGCAGCAAUGAAAAGGAGGCAGGUUCUUCAUGCUAUGGACCAGCUGCUUGUACUCUCAUUGGUGUUAAUGGGCCCAUUUGAGGAGCAGGAUGCAACUCAACAUGAACAGGGGGAUCAGAACUUGUCACUAAAGUUUGUACAGAAGUAGAAGGUGCAGUGGGCGUCAUCCUGC